UACGGAGGGUGCAAGCGUUGUUCGGAAUCACUGGGCGUAAAGCGCGUGUAGGCGGCUUGGCAAGUCAGAUGUGAAACCCUCAGGCUUAACCUGGGGCCGCCAUCUGAUACUGCUAUGGCUAGAGUCCGGUAGGGGAUCGUGGAAUUCCUGGAGUAGCGGUGAAAUGCACAGAUCUCAGGAGGAACACCAGUGGCGAAGGCGGCGAUCUGGGCCGGUACUGACGCUGAGGAGCGAAAGCGUGGGGAGCAAACAGG
rnacentral:rRNA from 1 species